rnacentral:rRNA from 1 species
UACGAAGGGGGCUAGCGUUGCUCGGAAUUACUGGGCGUAAAGCGCACUAGGCGGCUUUGUAAGUUAGAGGUGAAAGCCCGGGGCUCAACUCCGGAAUUGCCUUUAAGACUGCAUCGCUAGAAUUGUGGAGAGGUAAGUGGAAUUCCGAGUGUAGAGGUGAAAUUCGUAGAUAUUCGGAAGAACACCAGUGGCGAAGGCGACUUACUGGACACAUAUUGACGCUGAGGUGCGAAAGCGUGGGGAGCAAACAGG